CGAACGCUGGCGGCAGGCCUAACACAUGCAAGUCGAGCGGAUGACAGGAGCUUGCUCCUGAAUUCAGCGGCGGACGGGUGAGUAAUGCCUAGGAAUCUGCCUGGUAGUGGGGGACAACGUUUCGAAAGGAACGCUAAUACCGCAUACGUCCUACGGGAGAAAGCAGGGGACCUUCGGGCCUUGCGCGGAUAGAUGAGCCGAUGUCGGAUUAGCUAGUUGGCGGGGUAAAGGCCCACCAAGGCGACGAUCCGUAGCUGGUCUGAGAGGAUGAUCAGCCACACUGGAACUGAGACACGGUCCAGACUCCUACGGGAGGCAGCAGUGGGGAAUAUUGGACAAUGGGCGCAAGCCUGAUCCAGCCAUACCGCGUGGGUGAA
rnacentral:rRNA from 1 species